UCUUCAUUUGGAAAUGAAGCAUCUCGUGAUGAAAAAAAUUUAGACUGCUUCAGAGGAAGAGAAAAGGCAUGAACAUACGAAGAGGAAUGCUGAAGAAAGAUGGACCACAAAGAUUUGUGAUUACUUCCAGAAUGUUAUAUCAGAAGUGACUAAAACUUAGCAGUCUACCAGUUCAGUUCUCUGAUGUGAUUAUGUGAAAAGAAAUAUAAAAAAUAGGCCCUAGUAAAGUAAUUUACAGCUACAGAAAACCCCAGCUGAAUGCUC